GCCUUCGUGGUGUAGUGGUCAGCACACUCGGCGCGUAUUCGAGAGGUCCGUGGUUCGAGUCCCGGCGAGGACA
rnacentral:tRNA from 1 species